rnacentral:tRNA from 1 species
GUGGCUGUGGCUCAGUAGUAGAGCGCUUGCCUAGCAAGCGUGAGGCUCUGGGUUCGAUCCUCAGCACCACA